rnacentral:tRNA from 1 species
GGUUUUAUAGCUUAUUAAAGCGUUGCGUUGAAGGUGCAAAAAUACUAUAUGUUUUAACCG